GCAUUGGUGGUUCAGUGGUAGAAUUCUCGCCUCCCAUGCGGGAGACCCAGGUUCAACUCCCGGCCGUUGCA
rnacentral:tRNA from 1 species